rnacentral:rRNA from 1 species
AGAGUCCAUAUCGACGGCAUGGUUUGGCACCUCGAUGUCGGCUCGUCGCAUCCUGGGGCUGGAGUAGGUCCCAAGGGUUGGGCUGUUCGCCCAUUAAAGCGGUACGCGAGCUGGGUUUAGAACGUCGUGAGACAGUUCGGUCCCUAUCCUCUGCGCGCGCAGGAAAUUUGAGAAGAGCUAUCCCUAGUACGAGAGGACCGGGAUGGACGAACCUCUGGUGUGUCAGUUGUUCCGCCAGGAGCACCGCUGAUUAGCUACGUUCGGAACGGAUAACCGCUGAAAGCAUCUAAGCGGGAAGCCGGCUUCAAGAUGAGAUUUCCAUGACUUCGGUCGAGAGGCUCCCAGCUAGACUACUGGGUUGAUAGGCGGGAUGUGGAAGUGCGGACUAAAGACGCAUGGAGCUGACCCGUACUAAUAAGCCGAUAAAUUGAUAACA